CUGAGAAGAAGAGAGGCAUUACAUGAAGAUAAAGAGUCUUUGUUUGGUAGCCAAGGAUGAUUUGCCUACGGCUUUUCAGGUGGUUAAUAUUGAUGCUAUGAUUAUGAAUGUAAAACCCCUCGCUCUGGUCUGCAGGCAGUCACCUUGGCUAAGCUAACAGGCUCUUUUCUCUUAUGUUAGGCCUUCUUUUCUUCCUGUGUAGAAGCUUAAUGCUGAUUUUAUAUAUGCAAUUAUAAGAGUACUAUUUAUCACUGACUUGCUACUCAAAAAAAAAGAAAAAAACAUAUAUCACUGACUUAAAUUGUGCAAUUCUUUUCUAUAUAUAUCUGCUUCCAGGACAGGCUAUAUAUAUAUAUAUAUAUAUGGCAUAGCAGAAGCUACACAUCACACCCUGAAUUGAAGCACCAAGUUCCCCAUGCCAAGUGGAAAUUAAGUGGAAACACAAUCACAAUCGAGAAGCAGUGGAUGAUUCAAAUCUGAAAUCUGAAGGCCUCCCUCUUUCUCCACCUAUAAAUUGACAAGAAAUUCCUGCCACUGCAAUUCCAGUAUAAAUCCUCGUGAGAGUGUAAGUGUUUUCUUAUUUCCCUUUCUUUUUUCCGAAAGUGGAAAUAAAUUUAAAAGAAAAAAAGGAGAAAAAUGUUGACAGUGGAAUAAUCUUAAUCCUGCAAGGUAUUGGUGACACUGUUCUAAGAUAUAACAAUAAAUUUCUAAUCAAAACUUCGAAAUGAAGGCGCUAGGGAAAAAUUAGUUAGUGUGCAUUUCUUUGAUACAUAGCUUCAUGGAGAAAUUGUGUAGCAAUUUUGAUUUGGAGCUUGUUGAGUCAAAUAAGCAGGAAUAUGGCAAUUCGGAAAUUAUAAUUCUUUUGUCUCUUGGAUCACGCUUCAAUGGGAGGAUUUAGAAAACCAGCUUUUUCCCAUCGGGUUUCAUGUUCUAGAAUACUACAACCAAUUCAUCAAGUAAAGAGAAACACACGAUUGAGGCAGCAUGCUGCUCAGCUUGGAGCCAGAGUAGAGGAGUUAGGGUUCCAUAAAUGAGAACGUGUUGCUGUUUUAUGAAAGCCAAUAGGAAAGAAGGCAUCGAAUCUGUCCAAAAGUUAGGAAGGAAAGUUGAGCUUGUCGUGGAAUUGAUUGAAUUAACGAGUCUAAACAAAUUGGAAUCAGAGAUAAUAUUUAUCAACUAAUUUCCAUUACCAAUCUUGCUAAGGUGCGGUUGGAAGAGAUUGACUCCAUAAAAAGCGCCACCGAAGAGCAUCUGGAACAACUUAACUUGAUGGAGAAAUCAGCUAAAGAUCGCUUUAGAGACGCUAAACUGAAAGAGCAGUUUCAAUCGGAUGAGAAGGAUCUUGAACAACAACGUCAAGAGCUCAAAGCUGUUGGAAGAACUGAGGAAAACAAAUAUGAAGAGCGAUUCACAAAGAAUUCCAAUGAAAAGAGCAGAAACUUAAUGAAUUCGCCUAUCAUGAUCUGUACUCUAAUGUAAAAACAGUGGCAAUAGAAAAUCUUCAGGCUGCAGCCAAUCUUGAACCUGUUGUUCCAUUAAUAUUCCAGCCUGUUUGGGUUCGCAGCCUCCUACCCAACAUCAACAACCAGGUUCCUAAACCAAUAUUGGAGGGCUACGGUUCCCUCUUUACUCAAUGCAUCCUCGUCCCGAACAGCAACCUGGUUACCAUUUCCUGGAGUUGACAUGAACAUAAAUCCACACUUUUGUAUCUGGAAUCCUUUACUCAAGAUUGGAGAGAAUAUGUUCCAUUAUGG